CCGCCCAGUCCCUUCGCUGUGCGCGUGCGCCCAGAAGUCUCUUCCCUUCCCAGGCCUGGGUUGGUGUUCGCGAGCGGUUGCCUGUCGCUUGUCGCUCCGCCCGUGAGCUUCACGUGCGCCGAGGCUGCUGCUGAGGCGGGGCGGUCCCGGAUUUCUUUCUGAGGGCACGAGUGGCUAGUGCGAGGCCGCGGCAUAGUAUUAACUGCUUUCGCAAACCGGUGAGGGGUGUCUCUCCCCUUGGACGCCGUCGCGCCUGUCCGGAAGCUAUGAGCGUGGGCGCUCAGGCAAAGCUACCGCCAGAAGUUUUGGCGACGAGCUGGAGUCUCCUGGCGCAGAGAGUGUACAUAGAACCCGCAUUGGAAUUGUUUGGCAAAAGGAAUCUACGUGCUGUCUGCGACAACGAGUAGCCAUUCCCCAGUGGUUUUGGCCAAGGCUACUCUUGUCCAGUUUUCUUUCAGGUUUCAGUCUAAAGGGGAAAACACUUCUUUCCCACAUCAGAUGUUUCCUGAAGCAUGGAGGGGGUGCCACUAACAUAACACUCAAUACUUUGUUCCAGCGCUUCUAGCAAGUUUCCUGAUGUGGCAUUUGGGGGACAACACCUGACUUUACCGGUAGCCCCACAAGAUUCCACAAAAAAAGUGACUUCUUACCUAAGAGGCUAACCACAUCCCAAAUUGAUCUCAGUGGACUCCAUCCCCCCCAUGGUUGUAAGCAUAGUUGAUACAACACAGGAUCCUGCACAUAAGUCCAGCCUUAUCAUACAUUAGUAGAGUGACUUGUCGAAGCUACUUAACUUUCAUCAGCUUCAGUUUCUUCACUUGUAAGAUGGGAUGAGAACAACAUCUUCCCCAAAGAUCGAACACAAGGAUGAAGUGAGAUCUGUCCCUCCUGAUGUAUCUCAGCUGCUGCUGUUCUUCUCCUUCCCUGGAGGCACUGGAGCUGCAUUAUGCUUUAAAAGAUGGACCAUAAAGCCUUUGUUAAGUUGUCCCUAUAAUAUAUCCUUUAUGUCUGUACUUAGAUGAGACUGUAACCCCUAGAGGAGCAGAGCCAAGUUGUUAGCUCGCAUUCAUGGUUCUAAAUUCAGUGCUCUGAGCAGAUCGGGUUUAUCCUUAUGAUGAUGAUGAAGAGGAGUUGGAAGAUUUUUCUUCCAUUAUAUCAAAUGCAACUACUGAGUUUUAUAGGCUCCCUCUUAGAAUUUUCUGGAUGGUCUCCUCUUUUUUUCAUUUGAAUACCUUACUCCCCUGGAGUAAAAUGCAGGAUUGAGAGGUAAAUGAUCUGAAAACAAAUGUACGGUAAUACAUUCACUUUGGCUUACAAAAAUAAAACAACCCAAACCUAGUUUUUCUUAUAGUCUUUAAAUCCAGAUGGUAGUAAAAUUUGACAUUUCAAUUCUGUUUGUGAAAUUCAUUUUGUUUUUAAAUUGGGAAGAACCAUAGAGCUAAAAAUUGUCUGAAGUACUAGGAAGGCCUGGUGAGAC